ensembl:miRNA
UGAGAGAUACUAGCCUGACUCAUGUGGAUGUGUUCUUGCAUUCAGGCUGUCAUCUAUCUUACC